rnacentral:tRNA from 1 species
CAUUAGAUGACUGAAAGCAAAGUAAUGAUCUCUUAAAUCAAUAAAUAGUAAAUUAGCAAUUACUUCUAAUGA